AUUUUUUAAUCAUAAAAAGGUCAUGUUAACUGACUGCUAUUAUCUCAUAGAACAAAUUGUACAAGCUCUCUUUAGCCUGUGUUAAACUCCGACCUUAUUCUCGGCGUUUAUUCCAAAACCCUAUUCUUUUCCCAUUAAUUUUUGUCAUAGGGAUGGCUGAAAGAACCAGAGGUCACUCAUUUCCGGGUUCUAGGACUACAAACUGGCGAGCUCUAUUCAGCAUAAACAUUUCAACAUCAAAAUGUACUGGUCCCCCGUGGGAAUCGAACCCACAACCCUGGUGUUGCAAACACCAUGCUCUACCAACUGAGCCAUCAAUAAUAAUACGAUAGACCUCCGUCUAUUGGAUGAUAGCCUUCUCCUGCAUAACAUCUGUGCUACAUGCUUCUUCCAGUAUGCUCGUGAGGACGCCUCCUUCUGUCAUCAGAGCUUCCUGUAUGCUCGUGAGAACACCUCCUUCUGUCACCAGAGCUUCCUGUAUGCUCGUGAGGACGCCUCCUUCUGUCACCAGAGCUUCCUGUAUGCUCGUGAGAACACCUCCUUCUGUCACCAGAGCUUCCUGUAUGCUCGUGAGGACGCCUCCUUCUGUCACCAGAGCUUCCUGUAUGCUCGUGAGGACGCCUCCUUCUGUCAUCAGAGCUUCCUGUAUGCUCGUGAGGACGCCUCCUUCUGUCACCAGAGCUUCCUGUAUGCUCGUGAGGACGCCUCCUUCUGUCACCAGAGCUUCCUGUAUGCUCGUGAGGACGCCUCCUACCACCUCUGUCACCUGACAGACCACCUCCUACAGACCACCUGAACUAAACUCCUACAUCUGCUUCCCUGUCCUCUCCUUUAAAAACAGACAAUUCAAGACUUUACACCUGUUGUAUUGAUAUAAAACAAUAACUUUGUAAUUGGUUCACUUCUUCUUUUUCUACAAUGCCGUGCAUCUGUUGCAGAUUGAUGGGGGGUGGAUUCAUGCAAUGUAUUCUGGUAGGUACCGCCUCGGAUGACAGCGUCAUCCGUGAACGCUGUUGAAAGAGACAUUAUGACCAGAAAAGUAUCAUAUGAGUGAAAUGUAUUUUUAUUGAUAAAAGAUAGUAGCUGUAUCUUUAAUCAGAAUAAAAAAACACUAUUCAUAGUGUUCCUCUCAC
rnacentral:lncRNA from 1 species